rnacentral:rRNA from 1 species
AUACGGAGGAUGCGAGCGUUAUCCGGAUUUAUUGGGUUUAAAGGGUGCGUAGGCUGUGCGUUAAGUCAGGGGUGAAAUGCCGUCGCUCAACGACGGAGCUGCCCUUGAUACUGGCGUGCUGGAGUACGGAUGCCGUUGGAGGAAUGAGUGGUGUAGCGGGGAAAUGCUUAGAUAUCCCUCAGAACACCGAUUGCGAAGGCAUCUGACGAAUCCGUCACUGACGCUGAGGCACGAAAGCGUGGGGAUAGAACAGGAUUAGAUACCCUGGUAUUCCACGCCGUAAACGAUGAUGACUAACCGUCGGCGAUAGACAGCCGGUGGCCAAGCGAAAGCGAUAAGUCAUCCACCUGGGGAGUACGUCGGCAACGAUGAAACUCAAAGGAAUUGACGGGG